rnacentral:rRNA from 1 species
UGAUACUAAGCCAUGCGAGUCAUUGUAGCAAUACAAGGCAUACGGCUCAGUAACGCGUAGUCAACCUAACCUAUGGACGGGAAUAACCUCGGGAAACUGAGAAUAAUGCCCGAUAGAACAUUAUGCCUGGAAUGGUUUAUGUUCCAAAUGAUUUAUCGCCGUAGGAUGGGACUGCGGCCUAUCAGUUUGUUGGUGAGGUAAUGGCCCACCAAGACUAUUACAGGUACGGGCUCUGAGAGGAGUAGCCCGGAGAUGGGUACUGAGACACGGACCCAGGCCCUAUGGGGCGCAGCAGGCGAGAAAACUUUGCAAUGUGCGAAAGCACGACAAGGUUAAUCCGAGUGGUUUCUGCUAAAGGAACCUUUUGUCAGUCCUAGAAACACUGAUGAAUAAGGGGUGGGCAAGUUCUGGUGUCAGCCGCCGCGGUAAAACCAGCACCUCAAGUGGUCAGGAUGAUUAUUGGGCCUAAAGCAUCCGUAGCCGGCUCUGUAAGUUUUCGGUUAAAUCUGUACGCUCAACGUACAGGCUGCCGGGAAUACUGCAAGGCUAGGGAGUGGGAGAGGUAGACGGUACUCGGUAGGAAGGGGUAAAAUCCUUUGAUCUAUUGAUGACCACCUGUGGCGAAGGCGGUCUACCAGAACACGUCCGACGGUGAGGGAUGAAAGCUGGGGGAGCAAACCGGAUUAGAUACCCGGGUAGUCCCAGCUGUAAACUAUGCAAACUCAGUGAUGCAUUGGCUUGUGGCCAAUGCAGUGCUGCAGGGAAGCCGUUAAGUUUGCCGCCUGGGAAGUACGUACGCAAGUAUGAAACUUAAAGGAAUUGGCGGGGGAGCACCACAGGGGGUGAAGCCUGCGGUUCAAUUGG